UCCCCGGUGGCUCAAUGGUAGAGUGGGUGACUGUUAAUCACUAGGUUGUAGGUUCGAAUCCUACCCGGGGAGCCA
rnacentral:tRNA from 1 species